rnacentral:rRNA from 1 species
ACGGCGUGGACUACCAGGGUAUCUAAUCCUGUUUGCUACCCACGCUUUCGAACCUCAGCGUCAGAUUUGGCCCAGAAAAUCGCCUUCGCCACCGAUGUUCUUCCCAAUAUCUACGAAUUUCACCUCUACACUAGGAAUUCCAUUUUCCUCUACCAAUCUCUAGUAAACCAGUUUUGAUGGCAGUUCCGGAGUUGUGCUCCGGGCUUUCACCACCAACUUGAUUAACCGCCUACGCUCGCUUUACGCCCAGUAAUUCCGAGCAACGCUUGCCCCCUCCGUAUUACCGCGGCUGCUGGCACGGAGUUAGCCGGAGCUUCUUAUACAGGUACCGUCAUUAUCUUCCCUGUCGAAAGAGUUUUACAACCCUAAGGCCUUCUUCACUCACGCGGCAUGGCUGGAUCAGGCUUUCGCCCAUUGUC